GAGAUAUUUAUGCGCGCGCUAAAAGCAAAAGAUUGCGCAAAAACUAAUAUAGAAAUGCACACAUCCAUAACAGAAAUGCUUUCAAGUUUAACAGCUUUUACAAUGGCCAGCUGCCGUAAAAUAUGUUAAACCAUUGGAUUCAUUUGCCAUGCACCUUGUCCUGAACAUAUUUUCAAUAUAUUUUCAGGUUUCAAGUUUAAGAUAAAUAAACCUCGGUGAACAACUUGAUCCCAAAGAGGAAUAUUUGUCUUGCGCAAAUGUAGACUAAAUUUUCGCGCGGUCUACAUUGUUCUCUGGAACGACUCGUGGAAAUUUUUUUCGUCGUUUUAUUUCUUGACAUUUUUUUCUUUUUUCUUGGUUUACAAAUGCAAUGAAGGUGGGUUAUGGUAGGUAUGGUUUAUAUUAGUUAGAUAUUUUGUAGGUGGGACGGUUAUCCCCGCGGUCUCCGGCAUCCGGUACUCAUAAUCAGCAAGGUUUUUUACCGGAUCUCGCGAUCCGGUUUUCCUCGGGUGAUUAUUAUUUUUCGUUUGGCA
rnacentral:lncRNA from 1 species